UCCAGGGCUAGUGGUUAGGCCAUGGUGCUCUCAGCGCCACAGCCUGGGUUCAAUUCCUGCCCAGGGAA